CACUGGGACUGAGACACGGCCCAGACUCCUACGGGAGGCAGCAGUGGGGAAUUUUGGACAAUGGGGGCAACCCUGAUCCAGCCAUGCCGCGUGUCUGAAGAAGGCCUUCGGGUUGUAAAGGACUUUUGUCAGGGAGGAAAUCCCUAAGGUUAAUACCCUUGGGGGAUGACAGUACCUGAAGAAUAAGCACCGGCUAACUACGUGCCAGCAGCCGCGGUAAUACGUAGGGUGCAAGCGUUAAUCGGAAUUACUGGGCGUAAAGCGUGCGCAGGCGGUUUGAAAAGUCAGCUGUGAAAGCC
rnacentral:rRNA from 1 species